UCAGACAUGUUGUAGCGGUAACAUCGCCUCUGACAUUAACCAGUGCUACAAAGUCCAAUUUAGGAGGCGCUCCCGGGUUCGACUCCCGGUGUCUGAG